CGAAUGGAUAAGGAAGAUGUGGCAUAUAUACAAUGGAAUAUUAUUCAGCCAUAAAAAAGAACGAACUCUUGCCAUUGGCAACGACACGGACAGAGCUACAGAGGAUAAUGCUAAGCGAAACGAGCCAGGCAGAGAAUUC